UAACGCGAAGAACCUUACCAAGGCUUGACAUACACCGGAAACGGCCAGAGAUGGUCGCCCCCUUGUGGUCGGUGUACAGGUGGUGCAUGGUUGUCGUCAGCUCGUGUCGUGAGAUGUUGGGUUAAGUCCCGCAACGAGUGCAACCCUCGUUCUAUGUUGCCAGCGCGAUAUGGCGGGGACUCAUAGGAGACUGCCGGGGUCAACUCGGAGGAAGGUGGGGAUGACGUCAAAUCAUCAUGCCCCUUAUGUCUUGGGCUUCACGCAUGCUACAAUGGCCGGUACAAAGGGCUGCAAUACCGUAAGGUGGAGCGAAUCCCAAAAAGCCGGUCUCAGUUCGGAUUGAGGUCUGCAACUCGACCUCAUGAAGUCGGAGUCGCUAGUAAUCGCAGAUCAGCA
rnacentral:rRNA from 1 species